GUGCCAGCAGCCGCGGUAAUACGUAGGUGGCGAGCGUUGUCCGGAAUCACUGGGCGUAAAGGGCGCGUAGGCUGUUAUUUAAGUCAGGUGUGUAAUCUGCGGGCUUAACCCGGAGUUUGCACCUGAUACUGGAUGGCUUGAGUGUGGGAGAGGAUAGCGGAAUUCCCGGUGUAGCGGUGAAAUGCGUAGAGAUCGGGAGGAACACCAGUGGCGAAGGCGGCUACCUGGACCGAUACUGACGCUGAGACGC
rnacentral:rRNA from 1 species